rnacentral:rRNA from 1 species
UACGGAGGGUGCGAGCGUUGUCCGGAAUCACUGGGCGUAAAGAGCGCGUAGGCGGCUGGGGAAGUCGGCGGUGAAAGCCCGGAGCUCAACUCCGGGUCGGCCGUCGAGACUCCCCGGCUCGAGCUCACUAGAGGCAGAUGGAAUUCCGGGUGUAGCGGUGGAAUGCGUAGAGAUCCGGAAGAACACCGGUGGCGAAGGCGGUCUGCUGGGGUGAGGCUGACGCUGAGGCGCGACAGCGUGGGGAGCAAACAGG